rnacentral:rRNA from 1 species
GACGUAGGUGGCGAACGUUAUCCGGAAUUAUUGGGCGUAAAGGAUGCGUAGAUGGUGUAGUAAGUUAUCGGUGGCAAAUCGAGGCUCAACCUCGUGGAAGUCGGUAAUACUGCUAUGCUAGAGGAUAGGAGAGGUUAACGGAACUCCCUGUGGAGCGGUGAAAUGCGUAGAUAUAGGGAAGAACACCAAUAAGGCGAAGGCAGUUAACUAUUCUAUUC